rnacentral:rRNA from 1 species
GACGAACGCUGGCGGCGUGCUUAACACAUGCAAGUCGAACGGUGAAAGAAGAGCUUGCUCUUCUGGAUCAGUGGCGAACGGGUGAGUAACACGUGAGUACCCUGCCCCAUCCUCUGGAAUAAGCGCUGGAAACGGCGUCUAAUAUCUGAUACGAGCCAGAUCUGCAUGGCUACUGUCUGGAAAGUUUUUCGGUCUGGGAUGGACUCGCGGCCUAUCAGCUUGUUGGUGAGGUAGCGGCUCACCAAGGCAACGACGGGUCGCCGGCCUGAGAGGGCGACCGGCCACAAGGGGACUGAGACACGGACCAGAGGCCUACGGGAGGCAGCAGUGGGGAAUAUUGCACAAUGGGCGAAAGCCUGAUGCAGCGACGCCGCGGGAGGGAUGACGGCCUUCGGGUUGUAAACCUCUGUCAGCAGGGAAGAAGCGAAAGUGACGGUACCUGAAGAAGAAGCACCGGCUAACUACGUG